UACACGACUCUCGGCAACGGAUAUCUCGGCUCUCGCAUCGAUGAAAAACGUAGCGAAAUGCGAUACCUGGUGUGAAUUGCAGAAUCCCGCGAACCAUCGAGUCUUUGAACGCAAGUUGCGCCCGAGGCCAUUCGGCCGAGGGCACGCCUGCCUGGGCGUCACG
rnacentral:rRNA from 1 species